rnacentral:lncRNA from 1 species
GCUUAAAUAAAAAUAUGCACCCAUUGAAAUAUAUUGUAGUUGGGGCAUACUCCUAAGGCAGUGAAAAUAAGUCUUGUCUCAUUUUUGUCCCAUCUGUCUGCAUCCAUCUGUUGUCUCUCAUCUUAUUGUUAUACUUUUUAUAGUUGAGACAGGUUUGCUUCAUUAUUGAUCUGUAUUUACUCAGCACCAAGCACAAUGGGGUUCCAGUCAACAAUCAAAAUUUUGAGGCACUGUGGUUAGACAGAUAUAUGUAUAAUAAUACAUGGAGCGAUAUCAUUUAUGGAAAUGAAGUGAGCUCAUAAUGCAAAAGAAAAUUACAUAAUUGAAAAGCGCCAGGGAAAGAUGGAAUUUACAAUUAUUGGUUAAUGAGCUUAACAAAUUAGCAACUUCAGCUCAGAUUACAUCCACAAAACAUUCUAAGUGAAGGUGUAGCUAGAAGAAUAGUGGAAAGCAAAGAUGAAAAAAGAGUACAGGUAGCACAGGAUUUUAAUCUGCUCCCAAAGCUGAGAUGAGGAACUGGAGUGAACAGGAUCAUUAUGGUUCCUGAACUUGUCCAUUUGUGGAGAAUUCAGAUGGAAAAAGACAAAGGAAGAAACAAAGAAAAGAAAGGAAGAACUCCUUUUUUGAUAUCCAUACAUUUCCCACCAUUCAUACUAAUGCCAAGAGACUGA